AUUUUGUUAUUACUUGAAAAACUUCUUACUAUCCUUAAUUCUGUUGGUCAUUGAUUUUCUCUUCUGUUCUUUUAUUUCCUGUAUCAAUUUUCUAUUAUUCUUAUCUUUUAAAAUUGAUAUUCAUUGUUAAUUGUUCCUCUUUCCAUUUGAUAUACAUAUUUAUUUUUUAUAGUUCUUUCACUUCCUUUUUCAUGCAAAUUGUUUUUCUAACUAGGGUAGUGUUCUCUCUCUAUUAUUGGACUUCAGACUCGAGCAAACCUGAGUAGAAUUUCAUGGGCCAAAGAAAAGACUUGUCUCUGGUUCAAGGGAUGCUAGAAACUCAAAAAAGAAUAUAAAGUCAAUGGGAAUUUUGCUACUGACUUAUACAGGAGAAGAAUCAGAUUCUACAUGAGUUUAAGAUAUCAGGAGCAAAUCCACCCUCUGCCUCUACAGCCACACAUUACAUAAAAUACAGCAGGACUGGUCUACAAUAUUCAGCAUUAUCAAGACGUGCAAUUCGUCAGAUGUUACCCUUCACCAGCACAUACUUAUGUGAAACUGGGUUCUCGAAAUAUGCAGCAACAAAAAUGAAAUACAGAGAUCGACUGAAUGCCACGCCGUAUAUAAGAAUCCAACUUUCCAGUAUUAAACCAAAUUUUAAAAGACUUUGCGAAGAGAAGAAAAGCCAUCGUUUGCAUUGAAAAC